rnacentral:rRNA from 1 species
AUCGCGUCGCCCCCCAACACCGUGCAUGAAACAUUGCCGGAAGUCGAGGGGCGGAUAUUGGCUUCCCGUGCUUCGUUGCGGCUGGCCUAAAUGCAAGUGGGUUGCGACGGACACGACGACAAGUGGUGGUUGAUUACCUCAACUCAGUUUGUCGCUCGUUGACCCGUCGGAUGAGGAGACUUCCUCGACCCAUAGAAUGACGUCGUCACGACGCCUGCCACGACCGC